UACCAGCUCUCCGAGUGGUAGGGAUGAUUAUUGGGCUUAAAGCGUCCGUAGCCGGCUUAGCAAGUCUCCUGUUAAACUCAGCGACUUAAUCGUUGAAUCGCGGGAGAUACUACUAGGCUAGGAGGCGGGAGAGGUCGACGGUACUUCUGGGGUAGGGGUGAAAUCCUAUAAUCCCGGGAGGACCACCAGUGGCGAAGGCUGUCGACUAGAACGCGCUCGACGGUGAGGGGCGAAAGCUGGGGGAGCGAACCGGAUUAGAUACCCGGGUAGUCCCAGCUGUAAACGAUGCGGGCUAGGUGUUGGGAUGGCUACGUGCCAUUUCAGUGCCGCAGGGAAGCCAUUAAGCCCGCCGCCUGGGGAGUACGGCCGCAAGGCUGAAACUUAAAGGAAUUGGCGGGGAGCACCACAAGGCGUGAAGCUUGCGGUUC
rnacentral:rRNA from 1 species